GCCAAUUUUUUUAGGCUUUACAUGUGAAAUGCUUUAUCCGAUCUUCAUGCAAGUUUUUGAUCGAUCGGUUAUAUCUUUUGAUCUUUAUUUGAUAUUCGAACUUUGCAUGCAAGGUUCCUUUCACCUUGAUUAAGUAUUUUAUUUCGGCGGAGAUUGCUAGACUUAUGAACUCCAAUUGUGCCGAGCUCUGUGCAGCAUUCGUUUACAAAAUGCUUGAAUGCAAGCUUUGUAUUUGUCUGUGAUCCUUUGCUAAAAAGCUUUUUGGAUUGCGUUUGGUUAACCCUUGUUCUUGAGCAAAGACAUGUCGCUUACAAUUCUUUAGUUUGGUUGAUCUAUGCUUUGCCCUGUGCUAAGAAUGAGAUUGGAAGAUUUCUCGUUUUUAUGAGAUGCAUUUUGAUUAACUUGAAGCUUCAUAUGUGGUAUCUCGAUGGCGACUCCAGUUGGCUGUGCAUGUGAGUUUUGUUUGUUUUGUUAAACGUCUUCUUAUGCUUCUUCGAUAGCAGACUGUAGCUACCUUUAUUGCUUUAAGAAUGCUAAGUUGCAUUUUGACUAGCAGCUCAUGUUUGGUUUAUGGUAUGAAUGCAACCUUGGUAUAUUGUUAUCUGUGCAACCUUGCAUGGUAUCACAUUAUAUAAGUUUGCCUGUGAUCUAUUUUGUGAGGCAUGUGGUUUUUGAUCCGUACCUUGUUGAUAGAAUGAUUUCAUGCAUGAAUCCAUUAGGAUUAUUGAUCUAUUUGUGCCACCCAUAUAAACAUGCAUGAAGGUUAAGGUUUGUUGCUCUGUUCUUCAUGAUUCUCGCUGAGAUUGUGCAAGUUUGCAAACUGCUUGAUAUUUUGGAAUUUUUGUUUACUUCGACUCUUCAUUACUAUUUGUCCUAUAUCUUGUUAAGCAAUGUCGCUUAUGGGCGAGUUUGUAAGUUGCAUGGCAGAUCUAUUGGGUCAAUUUGUUCUAUACUUCGAUUGUGAAUGAAUGGGAGUCUCUUUCAUGCAGAACAGAUGCUAUACUGAUCUUUAGUUUGCUGAUUUCAAAUUGUCUUUGCUCCUUGAGUCUUUAUGGGUUUAUCUUGUGAUGUUUGUUCUUUAUAUGAGCUAUUCUUGGAUAUAUUGGAACUUCAUCUUUCGAAGAAGUAUAUGUAUGAUAUAUUUGAUUCUUUAAUAUUCAUGCUACACUCCGUGUACAGUUAAUAUGUUCAUCAUGUAUAUGCUUUGCAAUUUGUGGAUUCUUAUAUAUAUGAAUUGCACCUAUACACGAAUGGCAAUAAAAGCAGAAACUAUGCUGAGUUUUCCUUUGAAUAAUAUUUGCCUUUGCAAUGGUCUUAUAUUUAACUACACAUCUGUCCUUGCAUUGCUAUACAUAUACUGAUUGGGAGUUUUCUUUAUGUGAUAUGAACACUCGGCUAUAACGAGUUGGGACUACAACGUUGUAUGAUGUCUUGGCAUUUGCGGAGGAUGGGCUAUGUUUGAGGAAGAAGGACUUUUGUUAAGCUCAAAAAGGGGUAAUAUCUGUCCGCCUCACAUUACUUCCAUGUGUUUAUGACUAUGCUACAGUCUUGUAUGUUUUAUGUGUUGCCUAUGAUCCUGUGAGUUCUUGUGAGGCAAUUUGUUAUAAGGAUACUUUGAAGUUGUGUUGAUGUUUGUUGGCUUAUUUGGACUUUAUGUUGCUGGAGUAUAUAUGGUUCAGGCAUUAAUGUCAUUUGGAUAUGCUUGAAUCUCUCAUGCCUAUGAUCAUUUUUUGUGAGGCAGGCUAAGCCUUGAUACAUAUAUAUAUAGAUGCUGGUUUUGAUAUGAGAUUCGAUACUUGUAUACAUUGCUUAAUUUUUAGCAUCUCUUUGGGGUGCUUUAUGAGAACAUAUAUUGCACUUGCGCUGUCAAUAUUUGGACUGUCAAAUUGGUGUGUCCUUGAGCCUAGAUUUGCAAUUUGUAACACUCUGUUUACACUUUUACAUUUUGGUACUUUGCCUAGUAUAUUUGCUUGUACCAUGGACUUAUGUCUUAUCCUUGGUGGCACUGCUUAUAGGAGUUGAGAUGGCUCUAAAAGAGCAACUCCUCCUAUAAGGGUGUUGCUAGAAGUUAAGUUUGGGACCUUUGCAUUAUAUUUGGCCUUGUGAGAAUGUUGCAUAAAUGCCUUACAACCCUUAGCUGGUUUACCUGAUAAGAACAUUAACGAUGCCUGAUUCUUAGCCUUAGGGUUGCAAUGAUGAAAAAUGUAGUGUUUUAGCUAAGUUUAGUGAAUGAAGAUGAUUGUUAAGUCCUAAGGCUAGGAAGGCAGAAUGCUGCAACCAGACUUAGGACUCAACCUGAGCAUUAAAUGAGAAAUAUAUUAUCAAUUUCUUGCUUUGAAUUUGUUACAUUCAUAUUGCACAAAAUGUUGAGUUUUUGCCAAGCUUAAUCCUUAUAAAAAAUCGUCUAAUGCAUUUUCCGUGGAUUUAUGCGAGGUAAAUACGGCGAUGCAAAGAUCCUAGAUGCAGAACAAGGAUCCGAGAAGCCGGGAUACCGAACAAGGAAGUAGCGAUUCCUGGAUGGAGAACAAAGAGGAGCGGCACAAGCGAGGAUCUGAAGAUCAAUGAUAAAGAGCAGUGCAUCAGAUGAAGUACAUAUUUUGAAGCCGAAUAAAGACGUAGAGAUCCGAGAAGAAGAACAAUGAUGAAAGAGGUGGCGAUGCUGAGACAAUCCAGUCCGUUGAUGAAGUCAGAGAAAAUGAACGGUCUAGAUCUCUUCCUUGGAGGCUACGGUCCUUGGCGUACAAGUAAAGUUCGCGUGCAUCUGACGCUACGGAGGGCUAUAAAUGAGAGAAGUUUGGGGUUGGUGAAAAGAUAUAUUGGGACCAAGGCUCUGCUAAGAGUCUCCCAAUCUCAAAUCUCCCAAUCUCAAAUCUCUCAUUCCUCCUCUCCGUUCAAGACCAGUACUCGAAGUCGAAGAAGCAGUGUCGGCUGUGGGAGUCAAGGAUCAGUAAGCUUCAAGUUUGUCUCCCGAGGUUGUCAGUUCCUUUAAUUCUGCAUUUGUAAUGAGAUUGGGGAUUGUAAUUUCAUUUCUGGGUUUCUGUAAGUUGCAUAACUUGUGAUUUGAUUCGGUUGUACUAAGUAAGAUAUAUUCAGGCUUUGU
rnacentral:misc_RNA from 1 species